UAUAUUUAUAUAUUGUUUUGACUCUCUCAAAGAGGGGUAAGGAUCCUCUUCGAAUCUGUCUCCUCUGGGUUCUGUGGACCAAGUUAUCUUGGUCGUUUGAUACAAAUCAUGCGGUCAGAAAAAAAAUUCUCCCUUCCGCUUUCUCUUCGAAAUUGAAAAAAGAGAAGAAUUCCUAGGUCUCACGCAUUGGGAAUUCAUCGAAGCAUCCGAGUCGACUCAAAGGAAAACCACCACCACCGUUCCACUCCGAACAAACGGACAAAGACGGGCCUGCUGGAGGCCGAUCUGAUCCCUGCCACCGUCAUCGCCGGUGGCAGCGAGAGGAAGACGGGCCUGCUAGCCAUGAGGACGAAGGUUACAAAAUCGGCGUUGACUAGUAGAAAGCCCAGGGAUCUGGAGGAUCCAGAGAGCAUCCUUACCCCAAAGAAAGCAGCAUGUUGGUAUCGAAUAUUAUGCAAAGCUUUUAUACAAGUGUAAAAGGAUAUCUUCACUUAGCUACCAAAGCUAUUUAUAUUCAAGAGGUUUUUUAUAAUGACCAGGUUUACGAACUAAACAAUCAGAAGGGUAGGCGGGAUGAGAUCAUAUUAGAUACAAAGCUAGCAGUUUAUUAAUUUAUUUUUUUAGCCUUGUAAAGAAUUAUGAGUUUUUUUAAUAUUUUUUUAUAUAUAUAAGAAUAAUUUUAUUUUCA